GGGGUUGUGGCUCAAAGGUAGAGCACUCUCCUGGCAUGUGUGAGGCACUGGGUUCAAUCCUCAGCACCACA
rnacentral:tRNA from 1 species